GACGAACGCUGGCGGCGUGCCUAAUACAUGCAAGUCGAGCGGGCCUCCGGAGGUGCUUGCACCUCCGGACGGCCAGCGGCGGACGGGUGAGUAACACGUGGGCAACCUGCCUUUGAGGCCGGGAUAACACCGGGAAACCGGUGCUAAUACCGGAUACGUCCUCUUUCGCGCCUGCGAGAGGGGGGAAAGACGGUCUUUAAGGCCGUCGCUCAAAGAGGGGCCCGCGGCGCAUUAGGUGGUUGGUGGGGCAAGGGCCUACCAAGGCGACGAUGCGUUGCCGACCUGAGAGGGUGAUCGGCCACACUGGGACUGAGACACGGCCCAGACUCCUGCGGGAGGCAGCAGUAGGGAAUCAUCCGCAAUGGGCGAAAGCCUGACGGUGCAACGCCGCGUGAGUGAGGAAGGUUUUCGGAUCGUAAAGCUCUGUUGUGAGGGAAGAACAGCAUCCGGAGGAAAUGCCGGAGGUUUGCCGGUACCUCACCAGAAAGCCCCGGCUAACUACGUGCCAGCAGCCGCUGUAACAC
rnacentral:rRNA from 1 species